AGAGGGGGAUAACGAUUGGAAACGAUCGCUAAUACCGCAUGACAUAGCGGAACCGCAUGGUUUUGUUAUCAAAGAUUUUAUCGCUGAUAGAUGGGCUCGCGUCCGAUUAGAUAGUUGGUGGGGUAACGGCCUACCAAGUCGACGAUCGGUAGCCGGACUGAGAGGUCGAACGGCCACAUUGGGACUGAGACACGGCCCAGACUCCUACGGGAGGCAGCAGUGGGGGAUAUUGCACGAUGGGGGAAACCCUGAUGCAGCGACGCCGCGUGAGGGAAGACGGUCCUCUGGAUUGUAAACCUCUGUCUUCGGGGACGAAACGAGACGGUACCCGAGGAGGAAGCCACGGCUAACUACGUGCCAGCAGCCGCGGUAAUACGUAGGUGGCAAGCGUUGUCCGGAAUUACUGGGUGUAAAGGGAGCGUAGGCGGGCAGGCAAGUCAGGCGUGAAAUAUAUCGGCUCAACCGGUAACGGCGCUUGAAACUGCAGGUCUUGAGUGAAGUAGAGGUUGGCGGAAUUCCUAGUGUAGCGGUGAAAUGCGUAGAUAUUAGGAGGAACACCAGUGGCGA
rnacentral:rRNA from 1 species